CUCAGACUGUCACAUUCAGGACC
rnacentral:piRNA from 1 species